rfam:Sphingobium czechense LL01 genomic scaffold 25410_scaffold_01, whole genome shotgun sequence.
AGGCUUGAAAAACCAUCCGUUUGGGGCCAUAUGGAUGGUGCCGGGUUCGCCCGGCUAUGGUGAUAAAUUGUGUCGUAUAAUAGACGCAGCGGACCCGGGGGCAGUACCCGGCGGUUCCACCAGAAGGCCCGAUCGCUUACAGCUUUUGGGUUUCCUGACGGGGCCGAACUAGGAUCGACGUGUGUUCAAAGGCGAUAUUUUCACCCGGCCCGUGUAAGCCGUUAAACUGUGCAAAACUCACAAGUGCCAACGAUAACGAAGCACUCGCCAUUGCAGCGUAAUUGAGGGCCUCACGGCCUGAUAUUAUCCUAAAAUAGCGCGGUUGAACCCACCGGGCAACAGAAGGGAAUUCA